CGACUAAGUACGUAAACGUGAUACUCUUUGUAACAUCUAUUCACAGCAUAAAUCAAGCAGUUUUUGUACCCGAACGAAUGCAUGGAUGAAAUGACUUGUUGAUUUUGAAUGGAAAUAUUGUUGAUGUACAUUUCUAAAACAAAGUAUUAGUGGAAUAAUCCUCAGGGAAAACAACUCAGUAUCUCAAUUUCACUUUCCACCAAUGCUCAGGGGCUACGAUUGUACCCGUGUCCGAGAGGUACUUAACACCAGUGCAUUGCAGCAGCCCGAAGAGUUGCUUGUGCUCCGUUCGCAGUUUAUUUCAAUAGGUUUUCCAAUUCUUUUCCCACGGAGCUAUUGAACAAUUCAUUGAUACGUGUCAUCCUUUUAUCGAGAAGCAUUUGCCUCGUCACCUUCGGCAUUGACAAUUUCACAGGUGGCAAUGAAGAUUUUGUACUUUGGCGGGUCCCAUUUUUCAGACUUACGGACAACAGGCUGGAGCUUCUACGGGUGUGACGAUGCACGAUCGAAGUGGUCUGGGCUACCAAUACUAUAUUGCAAUGGAAAAGUGCAAAAUGAUAAGCUCACAAUUCAAAAAACGAAGCACAAAGCAUUUCUACAUUGGCAUAUAAUGACAUCUAUUCGUUUGUGGCCUAAUCUUACCACAUGAACGCACUGCCAGUACGUGAGAAAUUGAAAUUGUUGAGAAUAUCAGAACACAAACCUCGGACGUAAAACAUUUAUUUCCAUGGAAGAUGGACUAAUUUGAACCAGAGGAAGACAAAAUCAAACCAUACGAAGAUUUGGGGCAGAAUAUUAGAGAUGAACCUGCUUUCCAUGUGUUUGGGAUAAUAGUGCCACAGGAAUUCUUUGUUUGCCAUCUUUAAGGCCUUUUCUUUUCUGUUGUGGUCACUGGUGGAAAACUGGGGCACGGAAGAUGAAAGUUAUGGGCUAGCUCGGCGGAGAAGGGAUGAAGGGAGGCGACGUGGGCAUGGAGAGAAAGUGCAUGGCGACUGGGCUAUGAUACUGGUGGUUGGUCUCGGGUGG
rnacentral:lncRNA from 1 species